CUACCAUAAAGAGAAGGUUAGAGACAAGCUCUAUGACCCUUCAGCAACCUGCAAAACUAAGUAAGGUGCUAAUGCUUGAAUGAUGGAUA
rnacentral:ncRNA from 2 species